GAAAGAUUUACAACUGCGAAUUUGGUAUUUAUUUUGGUUUUGUUUUCUUUCUAUCGCAUCUAAACAUUUUAUUAAAAAACUGCUGCGGAUACAAGUGAUAAAUGAAUUGCUGAAUUAAAUAGAGAUACGGGUUGCAUGAAGUUACGGCUUUGUUUAAUGACUUGCAAUAGUUGCAAGGACGGUUUAUUUAUGGACCUGCAAUGUGCAACGGGCUCCUUCGUUGUGUUCUAGAAAAUUUGUAUUAUGUACUUAUAAUAGCCCACAUCACAGUAUUACCCAGCGUGUAAAUCAUUUGGAAUUGAGAAAUCGUCAGUUGCAAAAUGCUAUCAAGCAAAAGGAACAACAAACAGAAUUCUUACAACAAAAGCAAAUUUCAUUUGUGUUUUCACAGCAUGUUGGUCUUUCCAUAUGUAAGCAAAGCCUACACCAUUCAUCUUGGCAUGCAACAGGUUGGCUUAAGAUUUGCAGAGAUUGCAACUUCUGCAAGGUUGCUUGAAGUUAUUCC